AAGGGAAGAGGAAAUUAACGAUUGUAGCAGCACAAAUGGUACGCUGCCACUUUAAGGCCAAUUUCAGCUGCUGCAUAUAAGCAGGUCUCUACCUGUCACAAGACUACUUGCGUCAUGACGUCAACUCAUUCUGCUUCCUUUGUUUGCUGAGCUGUGCUGGCCUCCCUUGCUGUGCCUCCAACUCCUGGACCAAUUUGUUCGGUUGUUUGCUGCCGGGAAGGUAAGCGCUAGCAUGGCUAGGUAACAUCCAUCUCAUGUAAACGAAGCCUUUACGUAGCAUUUUGUUACAGCUGCGCUCCAUAGGCGAACUUGUGGAUCUGUUUAUCUGGCCGUGUGGUAAUUUACAGGGACUGAGGCUUCUGUGGUGGCGGUGGUGAUCCCAGGUGGCGAUGUCUUGUCUUGUGUGUUUUGUUGGAACACCUUUUUUUGUAGUGU